AAUAAUUGAAAGUAAAGAUGCU
rnacentral:snRNA from 1 species